rnacentral:misc_RNA from 1 species
AAGUCGUAACAAGGUUUCCGUAGGUGAACCUGCGGAAGGAUCAUUAGCGAAGUUCGGAAUGCAUGUUCGAUGUUGAUGCUGCCCAGCAAUGGGAUGUGCUCACUCGGAUGUGUGUCCCUUCUCUAUCCACCCCAUUGUGAACCAAGUGUGUGAGCCGAAGAGAAAUCGGACGCUCGCAUGCAAACCUUUAACAUACCCCAAUAAAGUAUCAGAAUGUACCUUGCGUUAACUCGCACAAAUAUAACUUUCAACAACGGAUCUCUUGGCUCUC